rnacentral:rRNA from 1 species
AACGAACGCUGGCGGCAUGCCUAACACAUGCAAGUCGAACGAGACCUUCGGGUCUAGUGGCGCACGGGUGCGUAACGCGUGGGAACCUGCCCUUAGGUUCGGAAUAACUCCCCGAAAGGGGUGCUAAUACCGGAUAAUGUCUUCGGACCAAAGAUUUAUCGCCGUUGGAUGGGCCCGCGUUGGCUUAGCUAGUUGGUAGGGUAAAAGCCUACCAAGGCGACGAUCCAUAGCUGGGCUGAGAGGAUGAUCAGCCACACUGGGACUGAGACACGGCCCAGACUCCUACGGGAGGCAGCAGUGGGGAAUAUUGGAAAAUGGGCGAAAGCCUGAUCCAGCAAUGCCGCGUGAGUGAUGAAGUCCUUAGGGUUGUAAAGCUCUUUUACCCGGGAUGAUAAUGACAGUACCGGGAGAAUAAGCUCCGGCUAACUCCGUG